rnacentral:rRNA from 1 species
GAGCGCCGUAGCAAUACGGAGCGGCAGACGGGCAGUAGUAACACAGUGGUGAAACGUGCCUCUUCAGGUGUCGGAACAAGCUCAGGGCAAGACUUGAGGCGUAAUUACCAGACAUACAGUCCGGUAAUGGAUGAAAGUAUUUAGUCGCUGAAGAGAUCGGCCCGCGUCUGAUUAGCUAGUUGGUGGGGUAAUGGCCCACCAAGGCGACGAUCAGUAGCUGGUCUGAGAGGAUGAUCAGCCUCACUGGGACUGAGACACGGUCCAGACUCCUACGGGAGGCAGCAGUGGGGAAUAUUGGACAAUGGGCGCAAGCCUGAUCCAGCCAUGCCGCGUGGGUGAUGAAGGCCCUAGGGUUGUAAAGCCCUUUCGGCGGGGAAGAUAAUGACGGUACCCGCAGAAGAAGCCCCGGCUAACUUCGUG